rnacentral:rRNA from 1 species
CGCACAAAGAUGAGCUCGCGUCCCAUUAGCUAGUUGGUGAGGUAACGGCCCACCAAGGCUUCGAUGGGUAGCCGACCUGAGAGGGUGAUCGGCCACACUGGAACUGAGACACGGUCCAGACUCCUACGGGAGGCAGCAGUGGGGAAUAUUGGGCAAUGGGCGCAAGCCUGACCCAGCAACGCCGCGUGAGGGAAGAAGGUCUUCGGAUUGUAAACCUCUGUCCUUGGGGACGAAAAAAAUGACGGUACCCAAGGAGGAAGCUCCGGCUAACUACGUGCCAGCAGCCGCGGUAAUACGUAGGGAGCGAGCGUUGUCCGGAAUUACUGGGCGUAAAGGGUGCGUAGGCGGCGAUGUAAGUCAGAUGUGAAAUCCCCGGGCUCAACUCGGGGGCUGCAUUUGAAACUACAUUGCUUGAGUGCAGGAGAGGAAAGCGGAAUUCCUAGUGUAGCGGUGAAAUGCGUAGAUAUUAGGAGGAACACCAGUGGCGAAGGCGGCUUUCUGGACUGUAACUGACACUGAGGCACGAAAGCGUGGGGAGCAAACAGGAUUAGAUACCCUGGUAGUCCACGCGGUAAACGAUGGAUACUAGGUGUGGGGGAGAUACAACCUCCGUGCCGCAGCUAACGCAAUAAGUAUCCCGCCUGGGGAGUACGGCCGCAAGGCUGAAACUCAAAAAUUGACGGGGACCCGCACAAGCGGUGGAGCAUGUGGUUUAAUUCGAAGCAACGCGAAGAACCUUACCAGGUCUUGACAUCCCUCUGACCGGUCCGUAACGGGACCUUUCCUUCGGGACAGAGGAGACAGGUGGUGCAUGGUUGUCGUCAGCUCGUGUCGUGAGAUGUUGGGUUAAGUCCCGCAACGAGCGCAACCCUUAUCUUUAGUAGCCAGCACGUUAAGGUGGGAACUCUAGAGAGACUGCCGAGGAUAACUCGGAGGAAGGUGGGGAUGACGUCAAAUCAUCAUGCCCCUUAUGAUCUGGGCUACACACGUGCUACAAUGGCGAUAACAAAGGGAAGCAAAAGGGUGACCUCUAGCAAACCCCAGAAAAGUCGUCCCAGUUCGGAUUGUAGUCUGCAACUCGACUACAUGAAGUUGGAAUCGCUAGUAAUCGCGAAUCAGAAUGUCGCGGUGAAUACGUUCCCGGGUCUUGUACACACCGCCCGUCACACCAUGGGAGUUGGAAGCGCCCGAAGCCAGUGACUCAACCGCAAGGAGAGAGCUGUCGAAGGUGAAGCCAAUGACUGGGGUGAAGUCGUAACAAGGUAACCC